UACUCCCCUUCGGUUUUUCGCCAAUGAGUUUUCCUUGUACAGUGGAGCACUGUCUUGUCAAUCCCUGUUCUCGUUCAUAGAGGGAGACAGAAACCUUGAACAAGGCUCGUCAAAACUGGUCUUCACUAACGAUUUGGCUCCUGCUCACCUAGGUUAUGUUUCAAGAGGAUUCCCAUUUGGUGGUUGAUAGUGGAAACCAAACUUGAGACUGCAAGCCAUCAGACUAUUGGCCUUGAAUUGGUAAGUCUGUGUGAGAGGUUAGUGAUGUUUUCGCAAGUUUUCUGCAAUUAGCUGCUAGUGAUCCUUCCUUCGCUAGCACUUGGUUUGAAAAAGUUUUGGCUUUGAUCGGCAACUGGGAGUCUACUACUUUAGGAGCAGGUAAUGCUAGUGAAGAUGAUCCCCACAAGUGUUAGCCAAAUGAUCUAGUCGUCAACUUGCUUCACAAUAACACACUAGCUUUCAUGAACAAAUUUGACCUAUUGUAAAUAAAGAAUACUUUGUUUGUAGUACUUUUGGUCUUCAGUGGAAAAAGCCUUUGUGAU